UACGUAGGGGCUAGCGUUAUCCGGAAUUACUGGGGCGUAAAGGGUGCGUAGGUGGUUUCUUAAGUCAGAGGUGAAAGGCUACGGCUCAACCGUAGUAAGCCUUUGAAACUGGGAAACUUGAGUGCAGGAGAGGAGAGUGGAAUUCCUAGUGUAGCGGUGAAAUGCGUAGAUAUUAGGAGGAACACCAGUUGCGAAGGCGGCUCUCUGGACUGUAACUGACACUGAGGCACGAAAGCGUGGGGAGCAAACAGGAUUAGAUACCCCCGUAGUCCCUGAGCGGGCU
rnacentral:rRNA from 1 species